CUUCUCUGGUGAAUAGUGGUGAUCCUUGGCAGUGGCAAUUCUGUCGAAACAGUUCUAGUUCUGGAUUCAAAUAAUACUGGGAUUCCUAUAUUCUGGUUCCUCUCUCAAAAGCCAUUUAUUUCAUUUCCUUGCUUUACUUUUUCCUCCACGCCCUAAAAGACCACCAAAAUUCCAUCUCUAUUUUUCUUCUGAUAGAGAAAUGAAGAAAGAAGAAGAAGAUAUGGAAGAAGGAGGUGUUGUUGUAAGAAGAAGAAAAGUCGUUAUUAAUUCUAAGAAGUCGUUUCAAAUACAGAAUCACAAGAAGAAAAGAAAAUGGGUUUGAAUUGGAUACUCAGUUUGGGCGGAGUCGGAAAUGGGGUUUUUGUGGCAGGAAAUUUUGCCUUGGUUCCAUCAGUUGAUCCCUUGUUUUAAUUCCUACCAUAUAACUGUUCAAUUGUUUAACCGAUCACUACCAUCUAAGGAAAUGUUAUCUGACAGUUCCUCCAAGAUCUUCAGACAGAUCUGGAGAAAAACUGAUCAGAAAGGGAUGGAAUAGUCGCUGUGAAGAUCGGCAAAAAGAAAUAAAUAAGAAAUCAAGAGAAUAUAUAUCCAUAUCAACGCAAAACAACAACAUCGAUGUCUAUGCAUCGGAGGUGUUUGAAUUAUCUACCAAAGCAGCUGAAUCUAAUGAAAGAGAACUAUGAUGAUCUAAGGGAAGAAGAUUUAUGUGCUUUCAAGCUCAUUAUGAUCCAUGUAAAGAGGCUGAGAGCUGUGCAGAAACAUCCGCAAGAAGUUGAGUUGCAUUCCUUGUAUCUCAUGGGACAAGUUUGGAUCCAGUGGCCUGAGGGAUAUCGUUGGGCUUACAAAGGGUUUGGGGCUUCUGCGCAGACUCAUUUGUAGAGAUUAGUGCUUCUGGCACAGGAGAACAAGUGCUUGUAGCUGCAAGAGAGGGUUCAUCUCAAGUGAUGCUUAAAGGAUUUUAAAGAGAGGUUUGUAAGGGUUAGUCUGAAUGUCUCAAAACCCUGUCUCCUAUAAAGGAACUGUUAAAGGAAAUGAAUCCAAUUUCCUAGAUAAACUGAAGGUCUUGACUGGUGGCUUAGUUUGUGUUGAGAAGCAACUCACAAUGGUCGAUGUGUUGUUUGGGUGGAGGUUGUAAAGCUUCUGCUGGUAAUUACAAAGUUGCUUGAUGAAAGCUCUAUCAAAAGGGAAGCCUGGAUAGAGAAACAACAAACCGUUGGCAGCACAUAAAGAAGAGAAUUCAGUUUUAGAUGAUAGUCCAGUAACACUUCAAAAGUGGAUGAGGGAUGUUGUGCAGGAUCAUGCUGCGAGUGAAAAACUCGGCAAGGAGAAUGCUGAAAAAUGUAGAAAUGUGGCUUCAGUUUAUUUGGUCCUAAUAUUCUGCUUGUUCCAGAAGCCAAAGAAGAGAAUGAUCACCAUGCAGUUCUAAUUUGAGGUUCUCCUCUUCCAUCUUAAAGAUUGGGUUUCCCAGAUGGGAAGACUAGUGAUGAAGAUGUGCCUUUUGAAAAAUCUUGUAGAAACAAGCAGUUCCCUCUUUAUGGAGGAAGAGAGUCUCAAGAGCAGUGUUUUAUAUGGGUUUCAGCUUGCUACUAGAGCCGGACCAUUAUGUGAUGAGCCUACGUGGGGAUCGACCUUUAUUGUCGAAGCUAAUGUUAUUCCAGUGGUGAAUCAAUCCGGCGAAUCUGUUGUUUCUACUUAACUUGCAGAUCACUAUGGCAUCUACACUGGACAUAUAAUGACGGCAGUGAAGAAAGCAUGUCGGAGAGCUGUGCUUCAGAACUGAAGAAAUCUCGGCUUGAAGAAGCCAUGUACCUGAACACCCCAACUGAACAUUUGGGCUCCAUGUAUGCUGUUCUGUCUAAGAGACGUGCCCAAGUUUUGAAGGAAGGGAUGCAAGAAGGGUCUUAUGUGUUCAUAGUGCACACAUGUAAUUGAACAUCUGACUUUUGAAAAAAGAAAGAUGGAUGUCAAAAUUGGUAAGUGCAUGUGGCUACUGCAGCAUGUUUCUCAUAACUUCUGAAUAUGGAGAUAACCCAAUAUUCUUGACCCUGUAAGUAUAUACUGCUCAUUUGUGCAAAUGCACAAUUUUGUUGUUUUAAGUUUAUAUAUGUACUGCAGUACUUUUAUGUUUCUGCCUUAAUUAUAUUUUCUCAUUUAGUUGGUAUUCUAAAUAUUUUUCCCGUAGCUUAAGAUUAGCGACACUAGUUUGUAUCAAGGUUUAGGACGGGAUGUACUCGAUGGUGAGCUUGUGUUCUCCUUUUUAUAUAUGACUAGACUAGAUUGUAAGGACAUCCCUUCAGCAUAACAUAUGUCAGUCAAAAAACCUUUGGAGAUUUACUAACGAACUCUGUGGUUCUGUCGAUUCACAUUUCACAACAUUAUGUACUCUAGUUAAAUCUUUCACUUUUCAUGUUUAAUUCAGAACUUGUUUUUGGAUGUUAAAGAUACUAGGAAUACUUGCUGUAUGUUGACUCUCAUUUCCAAUUAUCUUAACUUGGAAAGAGCUUUUCUUGAACUCAGUUUUGAAAUCAGGAUUCACUGAAUAUGAACUUUAACCUGGAGCUGUGCUAAGCUUCUCGUUUUACAUUUGAUGGGUCAUUAGAUAGCCACUCAAAACAUACUUGUCUGGCUGCAUCUCGUAUAAAGGAAAUGAAUCUACUGCAUUAAAACAUUAUUAUCCUCUACAAAAUUGAUAAUGGAAGAGCUAGUUAAAGUCUCCUCGCAUCGAUUUUUAGAAACAAACGUAACUAUCAACAGCAAUAAGAAGAAAAACUAGUAAAAGGAAAAUGUAACGGGAUUAUGAUCAUUAGUUUGCCGUGUUAUGUUUUAUAUUUUGCAUGAAUCACAAGUGACUGUAUGUAGGUUGGAUUAUUCGAACACACGUACUUCAUCAAUUAUUCUAGGCUUUGCAUGCAUUGCGGUAGCUAACUCACGUACUUCAUCAACCAUUCCAGGCUUUGUAUGCAUUCUGGUAGAUCUUCUUCAUUUAUGGUUCUGACUUGAGUCUGCAAAUACGAAACAAACUCACCCUGGUACAGCAGUACUGUUGGAUAAUGUCUUAAAGCUGGACUCUACAAUUUACCCAAGAAGAUUUCAACAAUAUUCUUGAUGAAGAAGAGGAGGAUGAGUAACCAGUAGCAGAAUAUGUUGGAAUGCAAGAUGACGAACUUGAAAUAGAAGAUGACAUGGAAGAUUCUGGUCUUGAUGGUUCUCUUAGAGAUGAUGAUAUUGUAAAUGAGGAUGAUGAUGAAGAGAUUACUAAAAGAGUCUGUAAUGUGCAAGAAAAAUGAUAAAUAUGAUGUUAAGUUGAAAAGGAAGAAGAGGGUACAUGUUGAUCAGGUUGAGAAUGAUGCUGCUGGUGAAAGCCACGCAAGAGUCCACUUGAGAAUAUCCAGUAGUAUAGGCUGUAAGCUGACUUUGACCAGCUCACUUUAAAGCCCUGAUUUUAUUUUCUUGAUUUUAUAUGAGAAUCUUAUUAUCUGAACUGCUGAAUUGGCAAGGGCAUUAAGUUUUGUAAUCCAUUUUGAUUCAUUAAGUUUGUUUUCACACAUUCUACUUA